UACGUAGGCAGCGAGCGUUGUUCGGAGUUACUGGGCGUAAAGGGUGCGUAGGCGGCUUCUUAAGUCUGGUGUGAAAUCUCCCGGCUCAACUGGGAGGGUGCGCCGGAUACUGAGGGGCUAGAGUGUGGGAGAGGAAAGUGGAAUUCCUGGUGUAGCGGUGAAAUGCGUAGAUAUCAGGAGGAACACCGGUGGUGUAAACGGCUUUCUGGACCAUAACUGACGCUGAGGCACGAAAGCGUGGGUAGCAAACAGG
rnacentral:rRNA from 1 species